GCUUACGGCCAUACCAACCUGGCUAUGCCCGAUCUCGUGUGAUCUCGGAAGCUAAGCAGGUUUGGACCUGGUUAGUACUUGGAUGGGAGACCGCCUGGGAAUACCAGGUGCUGUAAGCU
rnacentral:rRNA from 1 species